UCUUCAGAGUCUGCAAUUCAGCGACUGAAGGAGGCUCCAUCGAAAUCUCCCUCCGAUCAAGUGAAGAAGCCUCUGAAGAUCUCUAAGAAAUGCUUGGACUCUGCGUUUGCAGCUAUUCCGGAAGAUCAAUCUCCUCGAAAAUCGAUUUCUAGUUCGAACGAUUCCAAUUACGUAUUGGUGAACUCCUCUGUUGAUCAAA